GUUGGGAGUAGUGAUGUAUGCCUGUAAUCCCAGCUACUCUGGAGGCUGAGGCAGGAGGGUCACAGGUUGAAGGACGGGCCUAGGAAAUUUAGUGAGACCCUGUCUCAA
rnacentral:sRNA from 1 species